UUUAAGUGCAACCAUGAGUUUCCGUGUCUAACUUUGAUCGUCUGUCUUAUUUGAAAAAAAAAUAUAAUUAGUAUUUUUAUUGUUAUAAGAUGAUAAAACAUAAAUAGUAUUUUAUUCGUGACUUGUGUUUUUAAUCUUUUAAAAAAAAAUUCAAAUAAGACGGACGAUCAAAGUUGGACGCAGAAAACCAUGGCUGCACUUAAA
rfam:Oryza meridionalis cultivar OR44 (W2112) chromosome 2, whole genome shotgun sequence.